rnacentral:rRNA from 1 species
GAUGAACGCUGGCGGCGUGCCUAAUACAUGCAAGUCGAGCGAACGGACGAGAAGCUUGCUUCCCUGAUGUUAGCGGCGGACGGGUGAGUAACACGUGGAUAACCUACCUAUAGGACUGGGAUAACUUCGGGAAACCGGAGCUAAUACCGGAUAAUAUUUUGAACCGCAUGGUUCAAAAGUGAAAGACGGUCUUGCUGUCACUUAUAGAUGGAUCCGCGCUGCAUUAGCUAGUUGGUAAGGUAACGGCUUACCAAGGCAACGAUGCAUAGCCGACCUGAGAGGGUGAUCGGCCACACUGGAACUGAGACACGGUCCAGACUCCUACGGGAGGCAGCAGUAGGGAAUCUUCCGCAAUGGGCGAAAGCCUGACGGAGCAACGCCGCGUGAGUGAUGAAGGUCUUCGGAUCGUAAAACUCUGUUAUUAGGGAAGAACAUAUGUGUAAGUAACUGUGCACAUCUUGACGGUACCUAAUCAGAAAGCCACGGCUAACUACGUG